AUGCUAGUGUGGAACGUUCGUGGCCUUAAUGCUCCCGCAAGGCAGAACACGGUCUUUCAGGUGGUGACUACGGCUUGUCCAGCUAUAGUGUGUCUACAGGAAACCAAAUUGCAGGAGGUUACAGACAGCAUUGUACGACAGUGCCUUGUCAAUAAAUAUGAAAAGUCUUUAGUUGCCGGCUCUGGGGACAUGUGGGGGAUCUUGAUAGCUUGGGACACCACUACCACCCAACUAUCAAACCCACGCUUUACUAACCAUACAGUUACGACACUUGUCAAGUGCUCGGAGGACGAACAACCACGGUGGCUCACUUGA
rnacentral:rRNA from 1 species